AUUCUGCACAGAAGACCUUUUUCUGUUUGUUUUUAACAUGAAUACCGUCCUUGGCAUCCUAUAAGACACACUGCAUUCCUGUGGGAAUAAAAGGAGGCUUGUUGGAGCUUUGACUGGUCUCUUGUCAGGCACACAAAAUCCAAUUCACUCUGGUAUUUCUACUCGUCCCACUCUGGUUGGACAUACAUACUCCCACCAUCAACCUUUUCCUUUAGCUGUGCUGCUGGGAGAGUUCACAUCGUUGUCUCUUGCUUUGGCUCCCAUAAUGCAGAGAAAGGGACAGCCCACAAGAAGCUUUCUCUCUCCGUGUUGUCAUCCCAAUGGGUAACAGCCAAAUUCAUUUCAAGUGCAGGUAUUGACAUCUGGGUUAGUUUUACCUUUAAAGCAGUGGAGAUGAGUAGGUGCCUGAGGGAUGCACUUCAUCUCAUCUGGAUUUUGGUGAAGUGCCCCUGCGAUGCCUCUUCGCCCCAUAAAUGAGAAUAGGAAUCUAGAUGCUCAGUUCCCUUUGAAGGGACUCACUUUAAGGUUACAUCUGAGGAAAAAUAUAGAGACCUUCUGCCCUCUGAUCAUCCUUUCCGAGCUGGGAAAGAAACAGGCUCAGACAAAGGAUAUAAAACAUUUCCCUUCCCACAGCCUUUUUCCCCCUUGCCAUUGAGAAGAUGACAUUUAUAUUUGUGUAGUGUUUAGCACGAGGGACCCUCACUUUCAUUUUAUCCCUGGGCGCCAUUGGAGUAACAAAAAUAAACAGCAGAACAUGGUGUGUGUGGGGGGGUGGGAGGUUGGGAAUGAUGCCAGCUGACAUUCAAAGCACGGGCCUGGUUAUUUCCUGAUGAAUAACAGUGUUUACAGAAGGCCUUUCACCCUGAGGUGCUUCACAAAUCACAAACAUGCAGCCCCACAUCACAGCGUGGGCAGAACUGCUGACUUCAAAGUUUUGGCUGAGAAAAUCCCACACGCAGACCAUGGCAGGGAGCAACACACCUUCCAGAUAGCAAAAACCAAGGCAGUUCCAGGAACCAAGCCUGCUUCCAGCCUCAAGCCACAUCCAAUGAUCCUGCAGCCCAAAACCGUGCUAACACGAGAAGGAGAAACAAAGAAAAUGAAGGUGAACAUUUCUGACACUGCAUGUCUGAAAAUGACAGCAAAGGAAUCCCCCAAAACAGAUGAUUUUGGCUGA
rnacentral:lncRNA from 1 species